rnacentral:rRNA from 1 species
ANGCGACCCCAGGUCAGGCGGGGCUACCCGCUGAGUUUAAGCAUAUCAAUAAGC